GCAGAAUAAUCGCCUCGAUGCUUACAGAGAGGAUGCAUGUUCUGCAGCGUGGGAUGACAUCUGUAAAUUGUUGCUGUUUGCUCUCUUCUGUGUUGAUGCUUCUGUGUCUUCUCUCAGCUGUGAAGACGGAAAGUGCUGUAUUGAAUACAUCUUCAGUUCACACUGUUCUUCAGGGAAAUACAACUACAGUUAACUGUGAUUAUAACAAAACAAUUGAAAAGGUUUUUUUUACAGUAGCCUUGAGAAGAGAACAGUUACUGUGCUCAUAUAUAUAUCAGCAUAAUUCCUGGAGGAAGCGACCGUGUAAAGACAACAUCAAAUUUAUUUGGACUCCAGAAACAGAGGAAAUAUCAUUUGAGCUGUUGAAUCUUCAGAUAAAUGAUUCGGGUGUCUAUA